rnacentral:rRNA from 1 species
AGAAACUACAAAGGAAGUUAGACGGGGCCCGGCACAAGCGGAGGAGCAUGUGGUUUAAUUCGAUGAUACGCGAGGAACUUACCUGGGCUCGAACGUAAGAUGACUGUAGGUGAAAGCUUACAUCUCUUCGGAGCAUUUUACGAGGUGCUGCAUGGUUGUCGUCAGCUCGUGCCGUGAGGUGUCGGGUUAAGUCCCAUAACGAGCGCAACCCCUACCUUUAGUUGCCAUCAGGUUAAGCUGGGGACUCUAAAGGAACUGCCUACGCAAGUAGUGAGGAAGGCGGGGAUGACGUCAAAUCAGCACGGCCCUUACGUCCAGGGCUACACACGUGCUACAAUGGCCGAUACAGAGGGCAGCUACCUGGUGACAGGAUGCAAAUCUCCAAAGUCGGUCUCAGUUCGGAUCGGAGUCUGCAACCCGACUCCGUGAAGUUGGAUUCGCUAGUAAUCGCGCAUCAGCCAUGGCGCGGUGAAUACGUUCCCGGGCCUU